CGUGAGUAACCUGCCCUGGAGUGGGGAAUAACAGCUGGAAACAGCUGCUAAUACCGCAUAAUGCAGUUGGGCCGCAUGGCUCUGACUGCCAAAGAUUUAUCGCUCUGGGAUGGACUCGCGUCUGAUUAGCUAGUUGGUGGGGCAACGGCCCACCAAGGCGACGAUCAGUAGCCGGACUGAGAGGUUGGCCGGCCACAUUGGGACUGAGACACGGCCCAGACUCCUACGGAAGGCAGCAG
rnacentral:rRNA from 1 species